rnacentral:rRNA from 1 species
UACGUAGGGUGCGAACGUUUGUCCGGAAUUAUUGGGCGUAAAGAGCUUGUAGGCGGUCUGUCGCGUCUGCUGUGAAAAUCCGGGGCUCAACCCCGGACUUGCAGUGGGUACGGGCAGACUAGAGUGUGGUAGGGGAGACUGGAAUUCCUGGUGUAGCGGUGAAAUGCGCAGAUAUCAGGAGGAACACCGGUGGCGAAGGCGGAUCUCUGGGCCGAUAACUGACGUGGAGGAAGCGAAAGCGUGGGGAGCAAACAGG